GACGAACGCUGGCGGCGUGCUUAACACAUGCAAGUCGAACGAAGAGCGAUGGAAGCUUGCUUCUAUCAAUCUUAGUGGCGAACGGGUGAGUAACGCGUAAUCAACCUGCCCUUCAGAGGGGGACAACAGUUGGAAACGACUGCUAAUACCGCAUACGAUUUAAUCUCGGCAUCGAGGAUAGACGAAAGGUGGCCUCUACAUGUAAGCUAUCACUGAAGGAGGGGAUUGCGUCUGAUUAGCUAGUUGGAGGGGUAACGGCCCACCAAGGCGAUGAUCAGUAGCCGGUCUGAGAGGAUGAACGGCCACAUUGGGACUGAGACACGGCCCUGACUCCUACGGGAGGCAGCAGUGGGGAAUCUUCCGCAAUGGACGAAAGUCUGACGGAGCAACGCCGCGUGAGUGAUGACGGCCUUCGGGUUGUAAAGCUCUGUUAAUCGGGACGAAAGGCCUUCUUGCGAAUAUGUGAGAAGGAAUAGACG
rnacentral:rRNA from 1 species